rnacentral:ncRNA from 1 species
GCGAAAUCUAUUUAGGUAGAGCGUCAUCCGAAUACCCUCGGGGGUAGAGCACUGGAUGGGCUAGGGGGCCCCAACGGCUUACCAAACCUAACCAAACUCCGAAUACCGAGGAGUACUAGAUGGCAGACACACUGCGGGUGCUAAGGUCCGUAGUGGAGAGGGAAACAGCCCUGACCGCCAGCUAAGGUCCCUAAGUUAUCACUAAGUGGGAAACGAUGUGGGAGUGCUUAGACAACCAGGAGGUUGGCUUAGAAGCAGCCAUCCUUUAAAGAAAGCGUAACAGCUCACUGGUCAAGCGCUCCUGCGCGGAAAAUGUAACGGGGCUUAAGUGAUACACCGAAGCUGCGGGCUCGAAAGAGCGGUAGCGGAGCGUUCUGUAAGUCUGCGAAGGGCAGGUGCGAGCCUGCUUGGAGAUAUCAGAAGUGAGAAUGCUGACAUGAGUAGCGAUAAAGAGGGUGAGAGACCCUCUCGCCGAAAGUCCAAGGGUUCCUGCGCAAUGCUAAUCAGCGCAGGGUAAGCCGGCCCCUAAGGCGAGGCCGAAAGGCGUAGUCGAUGGGAACCAGGUUAAUAUUCCUGGG